rnacentral:rRNA from 1 species
AGCGGCGGAUGGGUGAGUAACACGUGGGGAACCUGCCCCUAAGUCUGGGAUACCAUUUGGAAACAGGUGCUAAUACCGGAUAAUAAAGCAGAUCGCAUGAUAAGCUUUUGAAAGGCGGCGUAAGCUGUCGCUAAGGGAUGGCCCCGCGGUGCAUUAGCUAGUUGGUAAGGUAACGGCUUACCAAGGCGACGAUGCAUAGCCGAGUUGAGAGACUGAUCGGCCACAUUGGGACUGAGACACGGCCCAAACUCCUACGGGAGGCAGCAGUAGGGAAUCUUCCACAAUGGACGCAAGUCUGAUGGAGCAACGCCGCGUGAGUGAAGAAGGUUUUCGGAUCGUAAAGCUCUGUUGUUGGUGAAGAAGGAUAGAGGUAGUAACUGGCCUUUAUUUGACGGUAAUCAACCAGAAAGUCACGGCUAACUACGUGCCAGCAGCCGCGGUAAUACGUAGGUGGCAAGCGUUGUCCGGAUUUAUUGGGCGUAAAGCGAGCGCAGGCAGAAAAAUAAGUCUAAUGUGAAAGCCCUCGGCUUAACCGAGGAACUGCAGCGGAAACUGUUUUUCUUGAGUGCAGAAGAGGAGAGUGGAACUCCAUGUGUAGCGGUGGAAUGCGUAGAUAUAUGGAAGAACACCAGUGGCGAAAGGCGGCUCUCUGGUCUGCAACUGACGCUGAGGCUCGAAAGCAUGGGUAGCGAACAGGAUUAGAUACCCUGGUAGUCCAUGCCGUAAACGAUGAGUGCUAAGUGU